UACGUAGGGUGCAAGCGUUAAUCGGAAUUACUGGGCGUAAAGCGUGCGCAGGCGGUUUUGUAAGACCGAUGUGAAAUCCCCGGGCUUAACCUGGGAACUGCAUCUGUGACUGCAUAGCUAGAGUACGGAAGAGGGGGAUGGAAUUCCGCGUGUAGCAGUGAAAUGCGUAGAUAUGCGGAGGAACACCGAUGGCGAAGGCAAUCCCCUGGACCUGUACUGACGCUCAUGCACGAAAGCGUGGGGAGCAAACAGG
rnacentral:rRNA from 1 species